UUUCCGUAGGUGAACCUGCGGAGGGAUCAUUACAAGUGACCCCGGUCUUACCACCGGGAUGUUCAUAACCCUUUGUCGUCCGACUCUGUUGCCUCGGGGGCGACCCGGCUCCGGCCGGCGAGCCCCCGCGGGCCCACUACCAAACUCUGCGUCUGAAGCGUCCGAGUCUGAUACUUAAAUAUCAAUCAAAACUUUCAACAACGGAUCUCUUGGUUCUGGCAUCGAUGAAGAACGCAGC
rnacentral:misc_RNA from 1 species